GUCACUUUGGCGGAGUGGUUAACGCGCAGCCCUGCUAAGGCUGUGUCUUCGGACGCGCAGGUUCGAAUCCUGCAGGUGACG